rnacentral:rRNA from 1 species
GAUGAACGCUGGCGGCGUGCCUAAUACAUACAAGUCGAGCGAACGGACGAGAAGCUUGCUUCUCUGAUGUUAGCGGCGGACGGGUGAGUAACACGUGGAUAACCUACCUAUAAGACUGGGAUAACUUCGGGAAACCGGAGCUAAUACCGGAUAAUAUUUUGGACCGCAUGGUUCAAAAGUGAAGGACGGUCUUGCUGUCACUUAUAGAUGGAUCCGCGCUGCAUUAGCUAGUUGGUAAGGUAACGGCUUACCAAGGCAACGAUGCAUAGCCGACCUGAGAGGGUGAUCGGCCACACUGGAACUGAGACACGGUCCAGACUCCUACGGGAGGCAGCAGUAGGGAAUCUUCCGCAAUGGGCGAAAGCCUGACGGAGCAACGCCGCGUGAGUGAUGAAGGUCUUCGGAUCGUAAAACUCUGUUAUUAGGGAAGAACAUAUGUGUAAGUAACUGUGCACAUCUUGACGGUACCUAAUCAGAAAGCCACGGCUAACUACGUG